GAGCUUAUAAGCCCCAUCGGCCCCUCUCUGGAAACAGUCGUUGUGCCUUUGUAAGCGGGAGCUGAAGUCGCUGGAGCGCUAUUCGGCGUCAGUGAGUCAGCUCGUCGACGGGAGACCGAGAGAAAGGCCUUCCUCCCCGCUGCAACCACGAACCUCUCCGAGGUACUGUGGACCGGGACAUCGCGAGACAAGCAGAGUGAGUCGGAGUGAGAUCCGAGCAGGCCGCCGCGACCGGCACCACCGCCACCCCGCCACCUCAGCCCGCGCAGCCCGCGCCCCGCGUUGCGCGAGAAGCACAAGAGGAGUAAGAAGAGAGUCAGCGGAAGGCAGCAAAGGCGAGCCCAGCACCGCGGCAGUCCAGUCGGGCCCGACCGCAGCACCGCACAGCAGCAGCAGCAGCAGCACCGCACGGCAGCAGCACCUCGACCAGCACCAUGAACGCCCUCCCCGCGGCCGCCCUGGCGGCGCUCGCCCUCGCCCUGCUCCUCGUCGUCCAGGCCGAGGCCGCCGACACCCCCUCGCCUACGGAGGUGGAGGUCUGUGGCGGUGAGUUACUGUCAACGCCAACCGCCA